rnacentral:tRNA from 1 species
GGGAACUCGUCAACGUUGGAGAGUUGAAGCAGACUGUAAAUCUGUUAUCGAUGGAUUUAGUAGGUUCGAAUCCUUCAGUUCCCAC